GGACCUUGGUCUACAAAUGGCAAGAUUAAGUUGAGGGGCUGCUCUUUCUUAUGGAGGGAGGUGUGUGCUCAUGCCCCUAAUGUGAUUCCUCAGAUGAGGUGGCUUGUGGAGGACGGUCGAUCAAUGAACCUCUUAGGCGACCUAUGGAUUGCCGACUUGCCAUUGUGUCAAUGGCCAACAUUCAUUAGCACUGACGUGGAUGAGUCAAGGGGG
rnacentral:lncRNA from 1 species